CAGGCCAACCCCAGGGUAGAGGGGAAUGAGUAAACAGGCCAACCCCAGGGUAGAGGGGAAUGUGUAAACAGGCCAACCCCAGGGUAGAGGGGAAUGUGUAAACAGGCCAACCCCAGGGUAGAGGGGAAUGUGUAAACAGGCCAACCCCAGGGUAGAGGGGAAUGUGUAAACAGGCCAACCCCAGGGUAGAGGGGAAUGGGUAAACAGGCCAACCCCAGGGUAGAGGGGAAUGUGUAAACAGGCCAACCCCAGGGUAGAGGGGAAUGUGUAAACAGGCCAACCCCAGGGUAGAGGGGAAUGAGUAAACAGGCCAACCCCAGGGUAGAGGGGAAUGAGUAAACAGGCCAACCCCAGGGUAGAGGGGAAUGUGUAAACAGGCCAACCCCAGGGUAGAGGGGAAUGUGUAAACAGGCCAACCCCAGGGUAGAGGGGAAUGUGUAAACAGGCCAACCCCAGGGUAGAGGGGAAUGUGUAAACAGGCCAACCCCAGGGUAGAGGGGAAUGUGUAAAC